AGAGAACCGGCGCACAGGUGCUGCAUGGCUGUCGUCAGCUCGUGUCGUGAGAUGUUGGGUUAAGUCCCGCAACGAGCGCAACCCUUGUCCUUAGUUGCUACGCAAGAGCACUCUAAGGAGACUGCCGGUGACAAACCGGAGGAAGGUGGGGAUGACGUCAAGUCCUCAUGGCCCUUAUGGGUAGGGCUUCACACGUCAUACAAUGGUCGGAACAGAGGGUUGCCAACCCGCGAGGGGGAGCUAAUCCCAGAAAACCGAUCGUAGUCCGGAUUGCACUCUGCAACUCGAGUGCAUGAAGCUGGAAUCGCUAGUAAUCGCGGAUCAGCAUGCCGCGGUGAAUACGUUCCC
rnacentral:rRNA from 1 species